AAAAUUUUUUGAAUAGAUCUACCAUUGUAUCGGAGACAGUCGUGUUUAAUCAAGAAGUAACUUUAAAAAAAUGAUAACUCGAUUGAAUAUAGAAAAUUAUAAGUUAUAUUGGAGAUGAAGAAAGUUGACUAUGUGUUAUUUAUAAAAUUUUGCAGGAAAACCCAUGUGUUUUUCCGCGAUCUAUUUUUGAACAGUGGAAACCCAACUAUUACAUGAUGCUUGGAUCCCAUGACACCACAUCAACACUGUAGAGCAUUGUGUUACAGGUUCAAAUCAUUAUGGCGAGUCUGGCUGAUGUUUUCACUGAGAAAGAAAGGACGAACUGGCUGAAGGCAUGGCUUGCAGUGGAUAUUGCAAAGUCUGGAUUAGAUAACUUCGCGGAGACCGAGGCUAAAACUUUACAUGCGAAUAUAUACAACGCGGCCUGGUCAAGUGUUCAAGCACCAGCUGUGUGCAUUGGCUGUCACACCGCUAACUUACUGAAAUGCCCAACUCAAGGAAUAUGCAAUAAACGAGGCGCAAAUAGCUCAUGUAAGGCUAUGCAUGAUACCGCGGCAAAACAACCUCGACCAUGCCCUACUAACGUGUGUAAUAAAGUUCUCGACGAAAUAAAAACACUGCACAAAUUUGCUAGUCCUUCGUGGAAAAAUACAAGGGCGCAGCAAUGGGCACAAAAUCCCUGGCAAAUUGCAAAGGCGUAUUUACCUCCGGACGGAUAUACUGGAAAGAGUUCGGUGCAAGACACGGACUUUAACGGAAUCAUCAGUUUUAUGAUGAAUUGUAAACAUUUCGACAGCAAGUUUUCGUUCCCCAUAGCUCCAGAAAAAAACAAUCCUCCGUGUUUACUGACAAAGGCGCGUGAGAUUGGCAGGACUGUUCGUCACUCGUCUCAGUGUAAGCUUACAGACGCAGAUCUCCAGGUCAUCUUCACAACACUGACUAACCUGCUGAAUGACCCAACGUGUCUUGCACAUGACGUCGCAUCACAGGAGGCUGUAAACAAAUUAGCAAAGCUACAAAACGACAGAUUGAAGAUAACCACAGAAGAAAUGAUGCAUUUACUAGGCGCUGUCGAAGAGAAACUGAAGGAAGUUGACAACUUAGCUGAGAAGACUCUUCACGAGAUAAGGGAGUCCAUUCAACGAUAUAUGAAUGAUCUCAGGGAGCACAAGGACACAUGUAAACAGCAACUUGAUGAGCACACUGAAACAGGUGAAAUGAAACUGGAUGAACACACUGAAAAAUGUGAAAUGAAACUUGAUGAGCACACUGGAGCAUGUGAAAUGAAACUGGAUAAACACACAGAAACAUGUGAAGUGAAACUGGAUGAACACACUGAAAAAUGUGAAAUGAAACUUGAUGAGCACACUGGAGCAUGUGAAAUGAAACUGGAUAAACACACUGAAACAUGUGAAGUGAAACUCGAUGAACACACUGAAAAAUGUGAAGAUAAACUGGAUGAACACACUGAACAACUUAAAAUUGCACUUGAUAAACAUUCUCGACACCAUGCCGAAUCAAACUAUGAGCAAUCCUGUGAAGAUCUCCGUCGACGUUUGAUUGAACAUUACAAUGACAACUCUAGCUUUGUGCCUCUUUCAAUUUUGAAUGAGAGUCUUGAUAAGCGUAUAACAGACAUAUAUGCAUCGCCUAAAAUACAUCGAAUCGAUAUUAAGAAAGAUGGAUCACGCAAAAUAGAGGAACCAGUAAAUUUUUACAAAGAAAUGUUUUACAAACACGAUCAUUCAAAUAGACGCAUUUAUGUACAAGGCGAACCCGGCUCAGGAAAGUCAACUUUUGCAGCUAAGUUAGUUCAUGAUUGGUGCCAUAAAUAUCAGCCUUUAUUGACUGUUCCGAAUAAAAAUACAGCGUUUAAUGACUUGAUGACAAUUCAAACAUUCAAGUUCCUAUUUUUCAUCUCGUUGAGAAAUGUGCGGGGACAGAAGGAUAUAAGUCAGAUGAUUAAAGACCAGCUCGUUGAUCAAAUGUACUCUGAAGAUGAUCUUGACGGUGUGUACACACUUUUAAAAACAAUUAUACAAACUGAACAAUGCCUCGUAGUUCGAGAUGGCCUUGAUGAAUGGAUGGCUCCUGAUGGUUGUAACCUAGCUGAACCUUCUAUGACAGGAUUGCGGAAGGACAAAGUCACGGUUCUCACAACAACGCGACCAUGGAAACUGGCUGAUGGACGAAUCAAGAAUUCUCAAAUCGACAUUCUGAUGGAGAUUCAGGGUGUAAGCGAUCCGGAUAUAUUUUGUGCAAAUAUACUCGGUUGCAUAAUUGACGACACUAAGGAUCUGGACAACACUGUCAAGGAAUUUCAAAAUUUUGUUGAAAAACGGGAGCUUAAAACGUUAUCAUCCUCGCCGAUGUUGUACACACUGGUCAUCUGCACGUGGGUCGACACGAUGAAAGAGGAGGAACAUUCGAAAGAAUAUUCCUUAUGUGCAUUAUACACUACUUUGCUUGAAAGUCUUUGUAAAAAGACCACCAGUAAAACUGGUUAUUUUAAUAAUUCAAACCCUUCACCUGUAGAUUGUUUUUCUAACACAAGUUACCUACAGCCAAACAUUGAACUCUUAGAUAAGCUUGCUGUUGCAGCUUGUAAAUUGCUCUUCUCAUGUGAAAAAGAAACAUCUAUUGUUUUUAGUGACAUAGCAUUAUCGAACUACUUUUCUGGGGAAGAGUUCACACUAUGUAAGACAUUCGCUCUUAAGGCAGGAAUAUUAACUAACAGGAAAGAUAAAAAUAGGACUGGAAGCUCGAACUCAUUCAUUCACAAAACUAUUCAGGAAUUUCUCGCAGCAUAUUAUAUUGCAUGCAAUACAUGCGUCAUUGAUGACGUUGUGGUCGGAUAUCUGACACGUUACAAUGAUUCUUAUCAUGAUUUAUCUCAAGUGUUCAUAUUCCUGUGUGGGAUGAACACCAUUGCUGCGAAUGCAUUGUCAGGUUUGAUGGACGAAUAUCACGUUGCUCGUUGCAGAAAUUACUACGAUUGGCCUUGUGAGCUUCAGAAAAUCACUGAGGCUGGAAUCAGAGAGGCAGAAGCCGGCAAACAAAAUACCAUAUGGCCGAAACUCAGCCACGUUUUCAUUAAUCUCAACCACAUGCGACAUUCACAUCGUGUCUUUUCUGCAACCGCCUCAAAUAUCCAGGCAUUCAUUAUCGACAUUUAUAGCGUACCGGAUUUAGAAAAGCUGCUUUCAUUCGCACGUGGCGAGCCUAAAUCUCAUUUUGUGUUUAACCUGGCGUCGUGCCACAAGCUGAAAAAACUGCGUCUAGAGGGAGAUGGCAUAUAUCUUACAGAUUCUGCCGAUUUGGUAACAUCAGAACUUCCGGUCGUGAUUGUUCUCAACCAUGCAGAGCCAGCUCGGUGUGGAGAUCUUCCUCCAGUCCUGCCCUCAAUACAAUACAUUCACUUGUGGGAGGUCAAAUGUUCCAGUUCCUGGCUACGCAGUCUGUUCAGCACGCUUCUGACACUCGAUCAUGAGGUGCAGUGUAUCAUAAGUUGCUGUUAUAUUACAUCGACUGCAGAGGGCUCUGUCAGAGAAUCAACCAAACCAAUAUCGACAAAUAUAAGGACGGGUUUUAACAAUACGUUCUACGUGCAACUUUCUAAGUACUCUUUGUAUUUAAGGAAGCCUCUACAUGGUUUUGGGGAGGCUCUACAUGGUCUGAAUAUCAAAUGGCUGCGUAUCAAUGUGGAAUACGCGAUAGCGAACCGUUCAAACUUUGUAGUUUUCUUAUAUAAGUCACUUCCAUCACUCUCAUCACUGGAGACACUUGAUGUAUGCGUGAACGAUAUCAGUCCCGAUUUGUGUGAGGAUCUGCACAGUCUGAAUAUCAAGAGUGUGACUCUGAGUCAGAGGGGUAGAUGGAGGGGCUUGAUAGUAAAUGAUGUAUCACAGUUAUCACAGGUUCUCAUAUCGCCCACACAGACGGAAGCUAUUAUUAUUGACGUGAAUGCCCAUCCAGAUCUGUUAGAGGCCCUGUGUGGUCGGAAUAUAAAUAGUCUCUGUCUAUAUGGAAGUGGAGAACAUUUGGAAGUGAAUAAUGUAUCGGCGUUAUGUAGGUCCCUCUCGUCUCUCAAACAGCUUGAUAAGCUUGAUGUUAUCGUCAACAAUGACUGUCCUGGUCUGUGGCAGGCCCUCCAUGGUUUGAGUAUCAAGAGUCUUAGUCUGAGUGGUGGAGAAACUGGUUUGAAAGUGAAUCAUGUAUCGGCGUUAGCACAAUUACUGGCAUCGCUCAUACACCUAGAAACGCUUAGUAUUAAAGUCUCUGAAUACAAUCUCUUUAAAUACACUCCCUGUCUAUGGGAGGCUAUCCAUGGUCUGAAUAUUAAGUGUUUGAGUCUUUGUUACUUAGGUCAAUUGGAUCACAUAUCGUCGUUAUCGCAGUCACUAGCAUCGCUCACAAAUCUGGAAACGCUUUGUGUAAAAUCCCCUUGUGGAGGCGUUCCCCGUCUAUUGGAGACUGUCUGUGGUCUGAAUAUUACAUGCUUAAGUAUUGAAGCGAGUAAUACCUGCCAACAACUAUGGGAGGCUCUCAUAGGUCUGAAUAUCCAGAGUCUGAGUAUGAGUGGUUUUCUUCUUACGCUGGAAAAUGCAUCGCUCUCACAAUUGCAAAUGCUUACACUAUAUGCAAGUCAUUUUAACGACAUACAGCUACCUCAAUCAUUGAAGUAUUUAAAUAUCUACUCUUGUGGUGAAUAUAAAUUCCCAUUAAGCAAUAUUAUGGACACACUGUCUGCAUGUACUCAGAGAAUUGAGAUUAAACUUGAAUGCGGUGUCAACUUUGAUUCAAUAGAGAAAUACAAAACAGAAAUGGAGACGCUGAAAAAUGUCAAGAUGACACGAUUUAUGAUAUAUACCUGGAAACCCUCAAUAGAAAAUGGUUCUGACUGGUGUGUUCAGAAAGUUGUUGUUGGUGUUGAUGGUAAUCAUGAUGAUGAUAUUGGUGAUGAUAAGCUAUAUAAACAAUUCAUAGACGAUGUGGCUGAUUUGCAUCGUAUUUCUGUGAGAUUUCGGAUUAAUUAAGAUUCAGUUUCGAUCUUACAUGAACAAAAAUAGUUCUUAAUAAAUUCGUCUGAAUUUCUUACCUAUCAUGUUACCAUUAUUUUCAAUGUCCAGACGUGUUCCGGGUUGCUGCGUUACGAGAGCGAUUGAAUCUUACUCGAACGUUUAUUUGUUGUACUACUACAAUUAACAUUUAUGCUUUUUAAGUGUUUAGUGUCUGUAUUUUGUUAUAAUGAAUUGCUUUAUUGUUCAAAAGUUUAUAAAUGUGUAUUGUUGCUGUAUGAUAAUUGCAAUAUCUCACCAAAGCAAAUAGUGCUCAUGGGGAGCUUUUGAGAAACCUUUUUUUCGUCGUCCGUCAGUCUGUGCUUGCGUUCCUUACUGAACCUAGAGAUUUAUCCUUCUUGGCAGAUUUUAAGGGUACUUUUCAGAAAUUAUCACAGGGCCUUAUUCUUUCAUCUUUUUUUCUGAACGUUUUAGUCUGUUGAAUAAGUACAAAGUAUCAAAGGAGCUAAAAUAGAUUUUUGAAAUGAAAACUUCACAAAUCUUCUCUGAAAACACAAGGGCCAGGGGUUUAAUAUUUUGCGUGAAACAUCAUGCGUUGUUCCUUUUCAAAUGUGUUCAAAUCUUGCCCCUUUGGACCAAAACUUGCCACUUCACAUGAUUAAUAUAGCUUGAAUAAAUAUUUACUUUAAAGGGACUGUCAACCGCGAUUGACGAAAAAAUCAAAGUUCUUAAAUACCGUAUUAUUUACAUUUAUUAUUUUAUAUUGAUUAAAAUAUUACGACUGGUACAUUACUUGAAACAAGUUCAUAUUUUCAGUAUAUUCGGUAAUAAAAUUUCGCGAUGUGAGAUCAAACGUACAUCGCGAAAAUAGGUGACAUAACGAUAUACACACUAUAAAUAUCGCAAGUAAAUUGAUCAUUUUACAUAUAAAAUACCGGUAUAUACAAUUCACUACGCGUGCACAAUUUGCUUUCCUGUGUUAACCACGUGACGAUGAUGAUCAAUCUGCUUGCGUUAUUUAUAGUUAACUGGUAGUUACCUGGUACCUGUACCCAGUAAAAUUUAUUACCGAAUAUACUGAAAAUAUGAAAUUUUAACAACCUUUUUCAAGUAAUGUUAUAUACCAGUCGUUAUAUUUUAGUCAAUAUAAACUAAUAAUUAUAAAAAAUACACUAUCUUAGAACUUUUCUUGUUGCGUCAAUCGCGGUUGACGGUCCAUUUAAAACUCUUCUUCUAUGAAACUGCAAGGUUCAUGGAUUUAAUAUUUAGUGUGUAACAUUGUGUUGCGGUCCUCAUCAAGUGAUGUUCGAAUAAUGUGCCAGAAAAAAAACCGCGCCGCACUAGUGGUUUACUGGUUUACCUAAUAUGUGUAAAAUUAAUUCUUUAAAACUCUUAUCGUCUGCAACCACAAGAUUUUAAGGUUUGUUAAUUGGUAGUUCACAUUUUAUAAUGAUCCUCUGCAUCUCUGCUAAGUUUGUGUUAAUUAUAACCCUGUGUUAAAGACAAGCUUUGUUAUAUGAACAUAAAUAAUGAAUAACGUAAAACAUCAUCUCUGAAACCGGAAGGGUCAGGGUUUUUAGAUAUUGUUUAAUAUUGAAUAGUUAUCAAAUACUAAGUUUGUUCAAAUCAUGUGGCCAAAAUUAACCACAUUCCAGGGGUCACAUGAUUUAUAUAGACUUUUAAGUUAACAACUUAAAAAAAUAUUAUCUGAAACUCCAAGGGUAUGGGGUUUGAUAUUUCGUGUGCGACAUUGAUUGGCGGGUAUGGGGUUUGAUAUUUGGUGUGCGACAUUCAUUGGCGGUCCGUUAAUAAGUUUGUUAAAAUCAUGACCCUGGGGUAACAAUCUAGCUCACCCUAUAAGCUACUUGUUUAUCAGUAUAUUAUUAUUAAUAAAAACGGUAAUGUGUUAUUACAUCGUCUAUGGCAAUAUCAAAGGUGUGUCAUACAGAGUACAAAACCUCUGGUUAAGCCACAGUUAUUACUAAAACAUCACAAAGUUCGCACAUUACAUAUUUUAUUUACAUAUUUCAUGAGAUUGACCGAAGGCUGUUGUGCCAUCUUGUCUAAAUAUAACGUUGGUAGAACCGUUGUCGUGUUUUAGUCCCUGCUGGAGUGGAUUAUAGGUUUACCCCCUGGUCGUCCGUCUGUCCCAUCUGAAAACAAGCUGGAUCCUGCAAUAACUCAACAAUUACUUAAUCUAUGUUUAUUAAAAUAAGAAUAUGGAUAGGGGACCGUAUGGUUUAUAUGCACAUUAUUUCGUCAUGUUUUUCGUGAUUUCUAUGGUUGCAGACAUAAUUUAAGACUUAUGUCGAGAAAUUGUCAUGAGAUUAACAUACUUUAGUUAGUUUAAUGAACCUUAUGGAGAUUCUGUUCUAACUCUCUUGAUAGAGCACUAUAUGAUGUCUUUGGCAAAGCUUUUGUUUAAAUUGUUUUGUUUGCGUACAUUUGAUCAUAAUGCUAAAGAUGUUAUAAUGUUUACGUGAUGAUUAGUUGAUGAUGGUGAUUCUAAUGUUGAAUGAGAAGAUGAUAAUGAGGAAUGUUAUAUAGGAGAGUGAAAUAAUUAACACGUGCAUUUAAAUGAGAGUACUGUUGUGCCAUAAUUUAAUUAAAUUCGUAACCAAGAGCAUUAUUUUAAACUAUAACAAAAUGUAUGUGAACCACAGUAUUUGUAUAGUCAAUGUUUAUGCUUAAGAACAUUACUACAAAAUAGACAAUUUACUGAACGUUUGUAGACCAUGUCCUCUCAAACAUAUUAAAUAACAAAUACUGAUCUCUGUUAAUAUAUUGUUAUUACUAGUCAAGUAUAACCAACUUUAUUUGAUAUGUUAAGUGACUUAUAUGUACGGAAUUUAUUGUAUACUCGUACGUCUUCCAUAGGAAUGUGCCCUAUCGUUUUGUAGGCCUGGAAUAAAUUAACAUCAAUACUUUCUGAGCAAUGAUUUUUAUUCGUGCUGAACCUUACAUAUUUAAUAUGUUAGGCAUUAACCUGUCGUGUUUUCAUCAUACCUGCAUGCCCCCAUUCUCUCUCAAAUACUAAAUUAUAAUCGAGUUAUCACUGAAACGCAUUUUUCACAGGAAUGCACAUGUUUACGACAUUUCACAUGUAAAUCAUGAGCACUUUCACUUAAUAUUUGAAACAUAUGUUGUUUUGCAGUUUUGUUGCUUUUGUAUUAAAAUGAAUUUCAGAU